rnacentral:lncRNA from 1 species
GUUUGGGGCAGUUUUCAUUGUGCCACGCUGCUGGGUUGGCAUUUGAGUUCUCGUUUCCUGCCAGGAAAGUGCUAAUGCUAGUCGUAAUGGAAGGUGCUGCAAACAAUCAUAAAUGUGUCUAGACAUAUAAACUGUCAGAUAAGCUGUGGAAAUAGUAAGAAAGUAAAAAUAAAUGUGAUCCUGAUUAGAAAGCUGUAACAGUCUGGGUCCCUUAAUAACAACAAUCGGUGUCAUAAAAAGGAAGUGUGUUUCCUUCACUUUUAGUGUCAAAUAUUGCAGCACUCUCCAGAACAAAAUAUAGAUGCAGGAAGGAAAAUUAACAGAGUAGAUAAUCCUUAUAAUCCAACUCUGAUCUGCAUUUCACUAAGUGUACCUGCUGAAGUCUAUAAAUCAACUUUUAUCAUGUGCUUAGACUUCAUAAAUCUCAAUAUGUACAUGAAAGCGGGGCCUCUGCAGAUGUCGUGCCAAAAGCGAUUGGAUUCUCAUGAGAAGGAAUCAGCAUCCAGAUGCAGUAAGCACCAGUUUCUGUUUUGUAUUUAAUCUGUGCUCCGAUCUGAGACUGAGGUAAGCGUGAGCUGAUCGCCACCAACAGCUGGUAUGUGCUCAUUUCCAUCGUUGGGAUCAUCUUUCCUUUUUGGACAGGAUGGUGUUUAAAAAAAAAACAACAUCAGGGCCUAUAAGGUGGAGAUGUGAAGUUUUUCAGAGGGAGAAGAUAGAGAGGAGGGUGAAGUGAGAUGAAAAGUUAAAUAGAAGGAGAGGGGGAAAGUGUGAGACAAAAAGAGACAGACAGAGAGCGGGGCCGGGCCUCACGGUACCUGAUCAAACAACUUGACGGCGUGUCAACACACAUCUGGAGCAGAUAUACCUCCUCCCUCUCCUCCUCCACCUCCCCUUCAUACACAGCGAUCCUAUCAAAACAAGAAAACACAUUUGAUAUCAGAGCAGUCAGUCUUCAUCAUCAUAAAAACUGAUCAAGAAGAUAGAUGUGAAGCUAAGCUAUGCUAAUUACAUAAGAGCAGAACUUCUCGACGGUCUCUUUACAGCCUGUGAGUACUUGGAUACCACUCCUUUCAGCCUUUUGUUUGCUCUUGGCAGCCUCUUUUUGUUUUUAUGAACUGGCCCGUUAAUCCUUUCUGACCACAACUGAUGCAAACAACGCAGGGCACUGGCGUGUACAUCAGGCGAUUGCACAAACACUAACAUUUCCUAACAUUUACAGCCGUGAUUGAAGUCAAGGCCUUGGAGAGUCGGAACGAGAGCCGUUUCCCAAGGGCAGGCGAAGGGAAUGAACGUGGACUGACCAUGAGUGAUUCAAGGCAUGUUUGAGGCAUUAGUGUUGGCGUGUGGACACACUGCAUCUGUUAUUACUACAGCAAUGCAAUAAUAAACUUCUUCGUUUCUUUGGAAAGGAUGGCUUGAGUGUUUUUUCCCUUGAAUUACACACCAGAUUUAGACGGCAUCCUCCCUGACUUAAAGAGAUAAGUAAAGAAAGAAGGGCUGAAUGAUUGAGAGUUGAACUAUCACGGUUUGGAUGUGUGCUUGUCCAACAGUCACAUCACAGAAGUAAUAAUUUAUCGACUCUGUUAACAAAAACUGAAGAAUACAUUUGUUGUUUUUUAAUUAAAUUGUCUGUUUUAAGUAAUGCUGCGUUCCAGUUGAAGUCGGAUGUCGGAGCUGGGAAUGACGUCACAUCCAGCGUUCCAGUCGGAAAACCAAGAUGGACGCCUACAGUUCCCCAGUGUUAGUUGUUCACCAUUGUCAGCUGUCGUUGGCUGUUGUCAGUCAUUGUUAGUUGUUGUAAGCGAGACCAGUUGUAAACAACGCACAACACAGUAUUUUACUCUUACAAACACUAUAGCACCAUGUUCAAAGUUAGACGUUGGGCAGUGCAACAUAUACCACUUAUUUAAUUUCACAAAAACAAAACAGAAGUGCUAAUAAAUAAUACAUUACGAGAGCUUUCACUGUUACUCUUUACUGUUGAUGCACUGCGCUGCCUUCUUAAAUCAUGACGUUGUCGUGAAGUCGGGGCUUGCGAGGAUGAUCCAACUUUCCGAGUCGGGAAUUCCAGAUUAAUUUUCGACUCAAAGCUCAGAAAUCCUGACUUCCAAGUACAACUGGAACACAGCAUUUGUCACAACAUUGCUGAAUUCUGAUUCUGAAUUGUCACCACAGGCCUAUUCUCAAACGGACUAAAUGGACUGUUUAUUAAGAUGUACCCAGUAAUUUCUCUAUUGCCUGUAGCAAAAGGAUAAAGUGCUAAAAGUGCUGAUAAAAUCCCCCAAAACGGCCCGACAACUGCAUUGAAUGAAAUGCUCAUGGCGUGCAAAAGCAGAGAAAGAGUCAAUGAAAUGCCUGACUCAUCAGAGAAGUACAGCUAACAUUAAGGAUGAGUCAGCACUGUUCACACACAUGGCGAGAAGAUUCACAAUAACACAAAUAAUUAUGAGUGCUCCAUUGGGUUCACAUGUAUACAAACACACACAAACAAGCCGUCUCGAGAGCCUUGGUGUAUGACAUAACCAUGUGUGUGAUCAUUAAGUGACUGUGGCAGGUUGUUUUUGCCCAGGCUGCCCUCUCUGCAUCUGUUCCCCAUACGGCCUCAUUAGGUGGGAUCCCUCUGGGAGCUGAUGGGCAGGGUCAGGAAGAGGGUCCCAGACUUCGGCUGUCUGUGGAUCUGACAGAGCUGAUAAUGUUGAGGUCUGGACAGGACAGGAAAGAAAGGAGAGGGGGAGGAGGAGGAGGGCGGGUGAUCCGAGACCCCUGACCUGGCUGCCCCAUGAUCUGAUGAAACGGCAAGGCUGAGGAGGAAUGUGGAUUCUCACGUGCAACCUCAGCUCUAUACUGUUUCCAACCUAAGCUUUUCCUCAAGAGUUACAGUAUUGUCUACCAUAUUCAUAUGAGGUUUGCAUUUAGUGACUGUCUUUGUUCAAGCCAGUCUCCUAUUACAGCAUGUGAAUCCUCUAACUGGUUGAUUCUAUUAGAGCAUAAGGAUAGGUGGUGGUAUUCACAAGCACUGGUCCCACAAUCCAAAAGCCACAAGCGCUUUAAUUUAUUGGUUGAUGUCUAGUUAAAGUGGCCUAAAUGUAAACUUGGCAGCCUUACAUAACUGUGGUUCUUAGGAAAAGGCAAACUAUUUAUCUUAAUUCAACUGGAGUUGUUUGUCACCUAACGGUAAGUAUAUUCUCAUAAAUCACCUUGUCCUAAAGACGCUCGAGAGGUUCGGGAGGCAGAUCAACAAAAAUAACUUGCCUCAUAAACAGGAAAGAACUGAAAUGGUGUGAUGGGAAGGGUCCUCUACAAUCUAUAAGAUGUGUUUCACCGUCAUUUAAGAGGAGAGACUAUGAGCAAGAACUUGACUGCAUGAAAUUUUAUAACUCAUUUAAAAACGGACACAAAAGAUCAACAAGAAAUAUUGCAAAAACACCUUUUUUAUCAGAUUUAACUAUGGACUAAAUUAGUCUUUUUAUCAUUAGUAUUGAUAUUAGCUCUGACUUUCACAAUUUGUGACUUUAGUUGUUCCCAUUUACUACAUAAAUGUUUGCUUUGAACCCAUUAACAUGGAGCCAUGAAGAGCUGUAUUUACAUUUCCAAAAGCAUUGUUAUAUCAGGUCCUUCUGCAGAUAAAACACUGAGGUUAUUUUGAAACAUCCAGACCACACUGACAAUAAUCUUCACAGGAAGAACUUUAAAUCCUGAGAGCCACUAACCAAACUUUACCUCCUCUAUAUUUGGGUUUAGGCGGAAAGCUCAGCUACAGAUAACUCAAAAUAACAGCAGAUAAAGCCAAAACUAUAGGGGCAAAUUGGGUGAACUGACAAUAUCACCUCUAUUAUCUCUCAUAUUUACUCGGCUUUUGCUCUUUCGCUGCUCCCUUUCCUCCUUUUUCCUCAUCGUUUAUUUCACUAAAUCAUUCCUGUCGGAUCCUUUUCCUCUCUCCGUCAGCAGCUCACGAUUCCUUGAUAGCGUUUGUGUAAUCAGUGUGACUCACAGAUAAAUAUCAGUAAACAGUGAGUGACGUCUCCCAGCUGGUUUCGAUUUUUCUGCUGUCUAAGCAGGUCAGGAAGCGUCUUACACCGGAUCACAAAACCAGAAUUUGAUACCACACAAAUCCCAGAAGACCAGUAGGGUCUCACCACUGAUGUCCAUGAAUUAUACAUUUGUUUGAGAGCACAUCUUUGGACACUAACACACAUAUCGAAAUAAAACGUACAUCAAGAAAAUCGACACCAUUUUUGAGUGAAGUCAUCUGUGAACACACACUCUUUAGUGUUACAGGACAUGACAGGUGUCAGCAUGUAUUCUUUUCCAUAUUAGGGGGAUUUUCACCUCAAGUCAAUACUUCUGUUUGAAGUCAAUGGGAGUUAAAUUCUUCAGCUCUCCAGUCCAGGGGUUAAAGGAAGUUCACAGGCCAUCAAUGCAAAUGAACAGCUUUCAAAAGUAAUUUAACUCCAAGUCUGUGUGUGCGCCAAUUGAGUAGCUCAUGGGCUUCUUUGGGAAUUGGAGGAACUUGGCAACAGGACUUGUUUGACCAAUCGGGAGUACCAGUAACUACAUAAUAAGAUAAUCUCAAAUAAAACCAACUCCAAGUGUGAAAAAUCCCUGAUGUGAUGUAAUGUUUGCCGACAACAGAAUUUAUACUUGGCAAAUGAAAUAUUUCAGCUACUUUUGACAUAACAGAAUACUUCAAUUUACCUCUACAACAUAGUCUCAAAACACGUCUUUGCAAUAACUUUCAAUCCUUCUAUAUUUAUGUAGCAACUACUCUCACAAUAGGUUAUCUCGAGACACUUACAACACAAGCAUGUCCACUGUACUCUUUAUGUUUUUUUACAAAGACUCAACUGUAGUUCUUUUAAACACAGUGCCAGUAGCAGUGUAACAAUUUGGUGACCAGACUCUUGUUGAAUAUGCAAGCUAUGUUAGGUCCAACUAAGAAAUUUGACUUGCAAAUUCAGCCUGAGUUUUGCAUUUAUAUGUAUUUCAAAAGUCUAGUUUCACUAGGGCAAAUGUACAUUGACUGUCUUCAUGUUACAUAAAGGUGCAAAGUGUACCGGUCCCCUUGUGAUUGAAGCCUGAAGCAGCAAAUCUAGGAGUUGGUACAAGUCUGAACCAGUCCAUCUUUAAGCUUUAUCAAUAAGAACGGGAAAGCAUACUCUUUAAACUGGAGCGGAUGUCUGCCUCAAAGACACUGAGACGGACUCGAUCACUGAAGGCUCUACUUCCCAUACCACUUCAGGUACCACCAGUUGGCCAGCGCUCUAUGAGCCUAGUGUUGUCGAGGGGUGAUCAGGUAAAUUAGAUCUUUUGGAUAGGAUGGUGUCUUGCGUUAUAGGGUUUGUUUAUUUGUUUUUUAUGGUUUAAAAUCAGUGUAGCUAAGUAUCUUUACAUUUACCUGAAGACCUGCAUCACUUUUUUAACACAGACUUGCACCGAAUAAAAAUUUAAUGAGAAACAGUAAACCAAGCAUCAAGUUACCGCUGACUUCACGGUGAAUGGAGUAUUUCAGAAACUUAAUGGUGAACACAUUUCCCAUGUUCGAGCGCAUUCCUCUUCCAACUAUUGAUAAAAUGUGAAGCUAACAGCGUAAUAAGCUGAGUUUGGCUCCAGCAAGUGCCAAGCCUUCACGGAGGACCUUACACUGCUUUUAUUGUAGGUAAGCCACAGUCUAGUCAAACAUGCAAUGCAACACAGUGCUGUAUUUUGCUCGUCACAUUCAUGCUCUGUUUCCUCCAUUGCAUCAUUCACAGAGUGUUGUUAAGUAUUGGCAGGUACUUCCAAAUCUGGUUGGAUUUAAUGAAAAGUGACGGCUCAUUUUAAACAGCCCCGGUAUAUGAAACUGCGCUCCAUCUGCCUAAUCCCAGAAGGCUACGAAUAUCCAUAUAAAUAUGCCGCAUUUGUCUAAAUCCACACAUUUGACAGCCCGCAGAACGAGCAAUCGUUUAAGAUUGACAGACACCACGGUCUGCUGAAAAAUAAAUAAAUACAUAAAAUAAAACUGCAGCCUCACUUCACCGUUCCAUCUUCUUUUCCAGUUUGGUUAUAUUGAAAUCACGUUGCCUUCCCUCUGCCUGGAGGGUUUCAGAAGAGUUUUUCGGCAUCAGUUUUAAAAGGGAAUUGCAUCCAGAUGUGGCCUAGGCUGAGCUUUCGGUCAGUCAGGGCUGGAGGCUGAGGAUAGGUGAACAGGGUAAAGGAGUCAAGGAGGAACCACGUGUUUUUGGGCACACUCCGAGAUCCACUGGAUAAACAUGACCUCCCUGUGACCCCUUACGAGCUGGCGUCGUCCCCAAGGGGCUUCUGAAGGUCCAUUAAACCUGUUCAGAUACCUCUGCCCUAUUUCAAACUCAAUCAGCGUCCCACAGGAGUUCUGUUGUUGUGCCGUUAGUCCAUGACACACAACAAAGGCCUCUGUUGCUGGGGAGUCAGCCUAUAUACCUACAGGAAAGGCUUUGGCUCCGCUGAAGCAAAACAAUUCAAGCACAAAAUUGAGUUUUGAUUCUUUUUCCUAACAAUAUCCAGCUCACACACAAUGGAGGCGUGGAGACAGUCCCAAAGGAUAACACGCAUGGCUUCUGAAAGGUUAUUUUUCAUCAAUGCAUCCUGGAGUUGUGUCUAAAAUCAGCCUCUCUGCUCUUGUAAUGGAUCCCUGCGGCUGCACUUGGCCGUCACGCUCCGGUUGGUGGGUUGCGUCAUGAAAACAGUGCAAGGAAUAAGACUGGUGUUUUUUAAACUGACAUCCUUACUGUCCAUCAAGUGUAAAACAAAACAGAUUUGUGGUGUCGAUCGUCGAUGGCGAAUGAGUGCAUUUGCUUUUACCACCAAUGGUUGGUCACACAUGGGGGAAGUUUUGAUGACUAAGGCCACAUUGCUCACUGCUGUAUCACUUCCAUGUUGAUUGAGGGUGGUCUGAGAAGGUUGCGCCAAUUUUGUAUUCAUGAAAGAAUCAAGUAGGAAAAGCUUCCCUUGACCAAACACAGAUGAAACAAGAGGAAAUGUUUUUUGAUGCCAGCACACACGCAGAGAAACAAAUCUAUGUGAAACAGGAUAAUUGCUUAUAACACAAUUAGAUGUUGUCUCAAUGUUGCCUUCUCUUGUCACAUUGUGUAAUGUGGUGGAUUACAGUAUCAUCACCUCUGUAGCGCCACUUCAUUUUUUCAGGCUGUAACCUACUUUGGUUUCACAGUUAGCGGUGACUCUGCAGGCUUCAUCAGCUCCUCUUAACACCAAUUUUAGCAGCACUAGAACCAGCACUGCAGGCUCUUAUUUUCACAUGCUGAGCAGUAAUUAUGGAAUGUAAUUAUCUAGUCAUGCAUCGCAUUCCUUGUAAAAGUGUAUCGAUUCCAGCUGUGAUGUAGGCUCCCCUCUGCUCGGAGCAAUGAACCAGCGGGAGAAGACGGCAGGAUUUUAUAUUUGAUUAACAGUGUGAUCAUUAUGUUUUAAAACCAGAAAUACGUAUAUUUUUUAUAUGGAUUUAAACAAACUAAACACUGUUUAGUGUCUCAUUUACUUUUACAUGUUUUUAAAUAACCAAUCAUAGAAUAAAAGAAGUCUCACAAAAUUUUAUCAUCUAACUGAAAUCUUUUUAGAUAUUUUUAGAUGUGUAAUCGUCUCAGGAGACUAAAACUUGGUGAGUAAGUAUUUCAAUGAAUCUUUACUUUUGAAGCACUGAUUUACACCAAAUGUUAUCUCAAAAAGAGAGGUCUAGACUGUUCUCUUCAUUUAGUUAUUCAAAAAGACCCAACAAUAAAAUUCAUGGGCCGAAUCCUUUGAAUGUUUAGCUCUGUUCGUCAAACAGAUCUACAAGGUGUUCUUCAACAUGAGACCACAACAACGCAAUGUCACUACCUUACUUAUCUGCUUUGACAUAAGGAGAGUAGAGAUCCCAGCUAUGUUAGAAUCAAGGGACGAAAUGGAAAUCUUGUGUUUCAUAAUGACAUGAAGUUAAACAGAAUUGAAAUUAUAAGGGCCUGUGUCCACUAACCUCUUCCUUUGCAGCUGCAGGGCCCUACACCUCAAUUCAGAAAGGUCCAAAAUUACACUAUUCCCAACUGAGAGCACUAAGCUCACCAACGCCUUUUGAACAUUUGCACGUCAGGUGCUGGAUGUUCAAAAUGCUGCAUUGGAGUUUCUUUUGAGAAAACGGAUGCUCUCAGGACAAAAAAACAUCAAUUGGUGGACACAGGCCCUAGACAACAAUAAGUAUAUUUGUUUCUUCCCGCAAACAAGGAAAACUAUAAUUACAAGAUGCUUUAGGAGGUUAAACGCUGUUAAAAGAAAUUUACCAUCUUUUAUAUAUUUGUUACUAAAGCAGAUGAAUCAGGUCCUCAUCAUUAAUAGCUUUCAGAAUUAAAGCUCAGUGCAAAUCUUGCUGUUAAGAUAUAGCAAAAGCCUGAACAUGUGAAGGUUUAACUUGAGAUUUAAAAUAAAUGAGUCCAAUGUAAAAUGUAUAUCUCUACAUAUAUAAGUUCAAAGUUUGAUAAAACUCAACCUGACAUGAGGAAACCAUCUCAAGGUUUGGCAAUUGGAAGAAAUAUCGUUUCAUAGAAAGAAAUGUUUACUUUUCCCAUGGCUCAACAUUGACUGUGUUUGUUAAAUCACACAAGAGGAAUGAAAUCAACCAUCGGAUGGUCUCUGCUUCGACAUACCAGAUCUCACAGAGCGAAGAAGUUAUUCUCGGGUGGCCACAAGAUUAUUUGGAUGCUUGUCAAGGCUUUAAAUAAAAAACCACAAGUAUUCAUAGUGCUUAGCCCAAACCCUUGACUGAUCAGAGGCUUUGAGUGGAGUGAGUGGUUUUCUCACAGGUACACAAGGAGCAGUGAACCCCCACACCCCACACACACGCAGACACUGGGCUUUACUCAUUCACAAGAAGAUAGUCCAGACAUCUGCCAGAAACAAUUCCAGUCACUGGCCUUCUACCAUUCUGUGCUGACAAUUAAACCUCUUUUUUUGUAUUGUGAAUGUGUUGUGAGUCUAAAAUGACCACGAUGUGACGGCGCAGCUAUGUUGAGAGUGUGAUAAAAAGAGAUGUCUGGCUUUUCAAGAGCAGCUCUGCCCACACAUAAAAGCCUCCACAGAAAUGUUACGAGGUGACACAUUGGGAUAUCACAAUAGCCCAGAAACAAAAACGUCCAACUAUGAAUAAGAACAUAUUAUCAUCUUUGGUGUUGCAUCUAAAGAUGGUCCAAAACACCAACAACCAGAAACACUUUUCAGGGUGAGGGAAUUGUAGUCCUGGCCUGCAGAUCUCAAAGACUUGUUUUAUUGGUGUGGUUUUUGGAUUUAUCUCCAGAAGAAAUGUUUACUUUGGCCAGAAAAUUAAAAACAGCAGGCUUACAAAUUACUUUUGCAACCAGAUAUAAAUAAUUACGGCAACAUUCAUUAAGUGUACCAUCUAGUAAACAUUGAACACAUAAACAAUAACUUGUCUGGGGCACUGUUAGGGAAUCCAAGUACAGUCCAAGUACGCCCCAUUUACAGAAGAUACAUUCCCAUAGCAGCAGUCGCAGGCUGGACUUGUAGAUUUAUGCCAAUGAUUUCUUGAUAGUUCAUGAAGAAAGACGUAACUUUAAGAAUGCAGUUGUAAUACUUGAAGAAAAAAGUUUUAACUUCUUAAGAAAAAGUCAAUAUUUGGAGAGUAAAGAUGUGACUUUAGGAUAUUGCUGGUCAACAUGGUAUUUUGAAGGAGCUUGACUUUAUUUCUGUUAACAUCACUAUUGUAAUGUUACAACUUUUUUCACACCUUAAGUUUUUUUCUUCUUGUGACUCUGAUCCUCUAUCCUAUUUAUUUGUCUUACUAUCUAGAUCAUUUUGAUUUAGAUUUUAUUUGUCCCAUAGCAAGAUUUAUCUUUACUGACAUUACAUUACACAUCUCAGAUGACAACGGACACUACAUACACACCAACAAUAAGUGACAUGCAAAAUAACAAUAAAAACAUUGACAACUUAAAAGACAGCACAAUAGUGGACAGACAGAUUAACAGGGCCUGCUGUUAAGGGCGGCAAUGGCUGCAGGGAUCAGGCUUUUACCCAGACGAGCCCUCCUAAGCUUAAUAGUUUUGUACCUGUGCCUAUAUCUUUAUUGAUUAAGUCUGUGAUAAAGAUUAGCUGAAAUAUCCUGUUUGAUCACAAUUUUGUUGAUUGAGCAUUCAUAUUCAUGCACCAAAAGGAAGGUCCAAUCCACACUUUGAUCCCAAA